GUCCCAGCUGUAAACGAUGCAGACUCGGUGAUGCACUGGCUUGUGGCCAGUGCAGUGCCGCAGGGAAGCCGUUAAGUUUGCCGCCUGGGAAGUACGUACGCAAGUAUGAAACUUAAAGGAAUUGGCGGGGGAGCACCACAAGGGGUGAAGCCUGCGGUUCAAUUGGAGUCAACGCCAGAAAUCUUACCCGAAGAGACAGCAGAAUGAAGGUCAAGCCGGAGACUUUACCAGACAAGCUGAGAGGUGGUGCAUGGCCGUCGU
rnacentral:rRNA from 1 species